GAUGAACGCUAGCGGCAGGCUUAACACAUGCAAGUCGAGGGGUAACAGGAGUGCUUGCACUCGCUGACGACCGGCGCACGGGUGCGUAACGCGUAUAGAACCUACCUUUUACUGAGGGAUAGCCUUUAGAAAUGAAGAUUAAUACCUCAUGGUAUUGCAAUUUGGCAUCAGAUUGUAAUUAAAGAUUUAUUGGUAAAAGAUGGCUAUGCGUCUUAUUAGCUAGAUGGUAAGGUAACGGCUUACCAUGGCAACGAUAAGUAGGGGCCCUGAGAGGGGGAUCCCCCACACUGGUACUGAGACACGGACCAGACUCCUACGGGAGGCAGCAGUGAGGAAUAUUGGGCAAUGGAGGCAACUCUGACCCAGCCAUGCCGCGUGCAGGAAGACUGCCCUAUGGGUUGUAAACUGCUUUUAUACAGGAAGAAACACACCUACGUGUAGGUGCUUGACGGUACUGUAAGAAUAAGCACCGGCUAACUCCGUGCCAGCAGCCGCGGUAAUACGGAGGGUGCAAGCGUUAUCCGGAAUCAUUGGGUUUAAAGGGUCCGCAGGCGGUCAAUUAAGUCAGAGGUGAAAUCCCAUAGCUUAACUAUGGAACUGCCUUUGAUACUGGUUGACUUGAGUUAUACGGAAGUAGAUAGAAUAAGUAGUGUAGCGGUGAAAUGCAUAGAUAUUACUUAGAAUACCGAUUGCGAAGGCAGUCUACUACGUAUAUACUGACGCU
rnacentral:rRNA from 1 species